CCUAGACUGUAUCACUUCCAGACUGCAUCAGUACCUCUUGGAUUACAGCGGCCAACUCGCUCUGGACUUCAAGACUGAGGCCCCGGAUGUGACGGAUGAAGAGCUCCCGAUGUUCACACUGUGGUAGACAGGAGAACCAAAACUGGCACCCAGGGGGCUCUCUCCUGCUGUCAGAACUCCAUUCUGUUCCCCCUUCCCCUCCUCACCUGCACUGAGGCCCCCAACAGCAGCCGAAGGAUGCCUUCCAGCUCGUCCACUGCCUCUUCUGCUGGGCACAAGCCCACGCUUCCCAAGCCCCAGCAGCAAUUCCUGGAGAGAAGAUAUGAGCGACUUAGAAGAGGACCCCGAGGCCCCGCAAAUGGCGGGAGCGCCCUCAGGAGGGACCUGGCUGACCUGAGUACUCCCAGCACCCCAGCCAAGCAGUCCUGAUUCCCAAGUCCCCCAGCUGGUGAGACCGGUUUGAAGGAGCGCAGCUCUAUGGAGUAUUCUGGGUGUCCCCGAGUGGGAGGCUGCCAGGAAACAGACCCAAGGACUCACAGCAGAAGCGAUCACAGGAGUCGCCUCUCCGUGGGAAUUCUGCCACUGAGCUCACCAAUCAUCUUGAUUGUAUCAUGCUGUUUGUGAGUGCAUCAAAAUUUUAUAUGAUAUGAACCUGCAUCUAAUCAGGAAGCAGAUCUGCUGGGAAAUAUAGGAACGUCUUAGUGAUGAAAAGCCUGGGGCCUGGUUAACUUUUCCUUUAGUGGCAUUUUUUAUUACACAUGAUGACAUCUUAGAGUUGAUAUGAUAUGAGGUAAUAAUAACAGCAGUGGCGCUGCGGUGGCACAGGCCUGUAAUCCCAGCACUCGGGAGACUGAAGCAGGAGGAUCAAAACUUCAAGGCCAGCCUCUCCAUCUAAGGACCGGUGAGAUGGCUCAGAAAGCCUGAAGCCUGACAACUGGAGUCCCGUCUCCGAGACCCACCCAGUAGAAGGGGAGACCCAACGCCUACAAGCUGUCCUCUGACCCCCACACACAAAUGUAACCAAAAGCUAAAGUAAAUACAAAUACCAGAAAUUACAGCAAACUCAGACUUCACAUGAGCGGGACAUGGUUAAUAAGUACUUGACUCUCAUGUACCCAUUUGUGCUGGACUCCUCUGUGAAAUAAAAACUAUGGAGUAUUUCUCACUUUACAGAGGAAAACAAAACAAAACAACAAAAAAAAAAACCGAGGCACAGAGGGGUUAAGAAACCUGCCUAAGGUCACACAGCUGUGAAGUUGGGGAUAGACCAACUGGAAGAGGACAGCAAGGCCAGAGGAUAAGGAGCAAGGGGCAUGGAGUCAGGCAAGCUGGGGCUGACAGGCCGUGGGGAAUCAUGCAAGACUAAGGAAGAGGCUUGUCCUUGAAUCAUCUGGGAAAGUGGGUAAUCUGGUCAAGAAGUGCUGAGCGGCUCACAAGGGGACUCCGCACUUGUUGAAUGACCGAGCUGUGCCCUGGGCCUUCCCAGUAACGCUCUCCAGGGGUUGUCGGCUGCCGGCCUCUUGAAUCUUGUUCCCACUUGCCACCUCCAAAAAUUUCAGUCCCAGGAUUCCUAGAGGCACUGCUACACUGGCCGAGAAGGUCCUCCAGAGCCAGCCAGAAAUGGUGACUGGGGCUCACCUCCGCUGUGGCAGAAGCACUCUCCUCUGCCGGCAUGACCGCAGCGUGCCGUUUAACCAACAUUGGUGCCAUGACUCGGAUACACCACUGAGUGAGCACCGAGGAUCUGCUGUGACCGCUGCCACCUGCCGCCUUCCUCCUCCAUCCAGCGAGACCGCCACCUCCACUGGACACCCACACAGCUACCACUACUGCUACCACCAUGAUUCUUCACAGUGAGUCUGCCGUUCUCGCAGCUGUAGUCUGAGCUAUAUUCUUUGUUGUCCUCGGGCUGUACUUGCAAUGGCAGGCACAUUUUUGCUCCUGACGAGGGGGUAAAUGGUGUCUAGGGUUCAACAGUGGACCAACUGCAGUACAGCCGAGUCCUCACCUUCCCUUGACGAAGAGGAUUGGUGACUUGAGCUGAUUCAUAGAUCUCUCUCCACUUUUUGGGGACACCCAAGAUUGGAGUCUGAUCCCGGUUUGUUAUUUUAAUUUUUUAUUUUUCUCUCAGCUACAGCCAUGAGAUAAAGGGGCAGAUACGAUACAUUUACCACCUACAUUGGCGGAUGGGACGGGCAUAACAGCGUCACGGGAACUUCUGCCAGCAAACAGGCAAAUAAGAGUUACUUUAUCUCCAAGCUUUCUGCUAAAGUUCUAAACCCUUCUCCUUAACCACUUCUGCAUCUGACACAUGCAACCUUUUCUGUCUGACUUCCGCCGGCGGUGGGCGGGCUCAAAUGGGCGGGCUUGGGCGGUUUCAACGACUCGCCCUAACUCACCUUAACUCCACCCACUCAUUCUCACGUGCAUACAGACAGGGCCCUGAUCUUUGCCUUGUCCCUAAUUCCAAAAAAACAAAUUCUCAUGCACCACAAGCUUUUCUCUUCCCAGUUCCCUGUUCUAACUCACUGUUCAGCUAAUGGCACAGGACCACCACAGAACCAGAGUCCAGAGAGCAUCAACAUCUUGUCAAACAGAAAGUUCCCAGCCACAGCCAAGAGGGAUACAUGUCUCCAGAGCUAAUGGAUGACAGACAGCAUCCCACAACGCCUGUCUACCUCAGAAGACUCCCCCAAGAGCCAACCAACGUCCAAUUGUCAGCUGGAAGCAGUUUUUGAGAGGAACGACGUCCCUAGUCCCAUCUACCUGCUUUUUUUUUUAUAAUAAGGGAAAGUCUGGGAUGUAAGGAUUCGGUCCUUAAUUACGUCAUCGGCCUUUGACGGCAUCCCAGCCUAAAAAGCAGGUGGGCCCUCUGUGCGUCCCUCUUUCCUUGCUGCUCCUUCCUUCUGUCUGUCUUCUUCUCUCCCUCUCUCUCCCUCCCUUCCCUUUCCUCUCUCUCUCUCUCUCUCCCUCUCCCCCCCCCC